rnacentral:rRNA from 1 species
GGGGAAUUUUCCGCAAUGGGCGAAAGCCUGACGGAGCAAUGCCGCGUGGAGGAUGAAAGCCUGUGGGUCGUAAACUCCUUUUCUCAGAGAAGAAGAUCUGACGGUAUCUGAGGAAUAAGCAUCGGCUAACUCCGUGCCAGCAGCCGCGGUAAUACGGAGGAUGCGAGCGUUAUCCGGAAUGAUUGGGCGUAAAGCGUCUGUAGGUGGUUUCCUAAGUCCACUGUCAAAAAUCAAGGCUUAACCUUGAGCAGGCAGUGGAAACUGGGAGGCUUGAGUACGGUAGGGGCGGAGGGAAUUCCCGGUGUAGCGGUGAAAUGCGUAGAGAUCGGGAAGAACACCAAGGGCGAAAGCACUCUGCUGGGCCGAAACUGACACUGAGAGACGAAAGCGAGGGGAGCAAAAGGGAUUAGAUACCCCUGUAGUCA